UACGGGGGGAGCAAACGUUGUUCGGAAUCACUGGGCGUAAAGAGCUCGUAGGCGGUUUGUCGCGUCUGCUGUGAAAACUCGGGGCUUAACCCCGGGCCUGCAGUGGGUACGGGCAGACUAGAGUGCGGUAGGGGAGACUGGAAUUCCUGGUGUAGCGGUGAAAUGCGCAGAUAUCAGGAGGAACACCGGUGGCGAAGGCGGGUCUCUGGGCCGAUACUGACGCUGAGGAGCGAAAGCGUGGGGAGCGAACAGG
rnacentral:rRNA from 1 species